CAAUAGCGUAUAUUAAAGUUGUUGCGGUUAAAAAGCUCGUAGUUGGAUUUCUGUCGAUGACUGGUGGUCCUCUCUAUGAGAGUGUAUCUACUUAGGCGUUGGCAUCCUUAUGAGAGACGUUUCUGUGCUUGAUUGCAUGGUGCGGAUUUCAUAACUUUUACUUUGAGGAAAUUAGAGUGUUCACGGCAGGCACGCGCCUUGAAUACAUUAGCAUGGAAUAAUAAUAUAGGAUCGAGAUUCUAUUUUGUUGGUUUCUAGAAUCACGAUAAUGAUUAAUAGGAUAAUUGGGGCGAUUUGUAUUAACGCGUCAGAGGUGAAAUUACUUGGAUUGCGUUACGACAAACUAACUGCGAAAGCAUUUGUCCAAGGAUGUUUUCUAUUGAUCAAGAACGAAAGUAAUGGGGAGUCGAAGACGAUUAG
rnacentral:rRNA from 1 species